GGGAGGUGCCGCCGCUCGUCCCGGCGCGGGCAGCGGAGCGGCGAGGGGCGGCAGUGGAUUUCGCCUGUAAUUCAACUUUCCACAUUUGUGUGAGAGCCUUCUGCAACUUUGAUCAUUCUGAAUUAUUAGCAGAUUUGUUCAAAGAAUAAAGGGUUGAAAAUGCACUUUCAAAACCACUUGGUGCACUUUGAGAUGUCAGGAAACCGAAGAGUUUUAAUUAGAGGAACAUCCAUCCUUGCUUGCAAAUUAACCAGUUGCUUCUGAAUUCAUUACAUGGAUGUUUCCCAUCCUUGUGAUAUUGAUUUACAUGCUCUGGAAUCAUGAUGGUUGUGAUGUCCCUGGCUGGCAGUGGAGAAUUAAUGUUUGGUGUGGCAGAAAGUCCUUGGCAAUGGAGGAGCAUAUGAAGCAUAAAGUCGGAACUUCAGCAGCUGAAUCAACACAAGUAUGUUUUGUUUGGGUUUUAUGUAAAACUGUUGUGAUAGUUAGAAGAUACUGCUUCCUAAGUUCUCCAAUAUAUCAUCUUGCUUUAAUUAAAUUUCCUAUAUAUUAAGUAAAUAUUCUUGGAUGUAAGUUUGAAUUGACAGUAAAGUUAGGAAAUCAAAUUGUGUGUGUCUUAAAUUACAAAAAUAGUGAUUGUUUUCUGAGUCCAGUUGGCUGAUCUGAUUUAGCUUUACAAAAAUGUCAUCUUGAUGGACAUAUGGAGCUGGAAAACAUCAUCUGAUAAUUUGUCAAAUGUACAUAUGUGUUUAAGAAAAUCCCAGAAUGGGAACAGUUUUUGUUUAAUGCAAUGAAGUUCUGUCUUGUUCCUCAAUACAUCUGACCUCAGCUGAUGUCUCACAACAAAUGGAGCACCAAAGAGAGGUCCAGGGGACACCCAGCUACCUUGGCUGUCCUGCACAGCCCCCAGCAGCCGUGUAGGGCUGGGCACUGGGCAUUUUGGGCUGCUGGAACUAAGGCCAUAACAGUGUGACUAAACUCUCUAGUCGUAGCCCAUAAAAGAUGAAACAGUGUUUGCUGGAGGUGCCCUUUUGUCUGAAAAGGAAUUGCAUGUGUUACAGUGAUAGUACAACAUAUGGUUUUCCUACAUUAUGGAAGUUCUCACUUUUUUUCUUUGUGUUGCAGAGCACAAUGUCUUCAACAGAGUAUUAUCACUGGCAGAUUAAUGAAACAGUUUGAAAAUGGCUAUGCUAAAUAUUUGGGUUUUGAUACUGAGAGUUUUUUCAAAUAUGUAUUAAUCUUGUGGGUGGUGUGUAAAUGAAAGGGAAAGAAAUGUUUUUGCAGAUCACUCAGGAAAAGUGGGAAAAUAACUGAAAUACCUGGGUGUUUCUGUUAAAAUGUGUGUAAGUGCUUGGCUAAAAUUAUGGCACUUAAACAGAUUUACAUUUUGAACCAUCGAAAAGAAAGCGUUUGUGUUCCAGCUGGUAAUUAACCCCUACCACCUUUUCCCCGGCCUCAGCUCCUCUGGCAGGGCAUGUAUUCUGGAGGGAGGACCUAAUCUGUCUUUUAUUCUCUCUAAUUGCUCCUAUAAUUGGAUGUGUAUGUCUACACACACUGCAGUGGUUGUGGCCCUGUCUUCCAUCUCAGGAAGAUGGCAUUACUGAAUCACAUCUGCCACACCUGGCACAAGGAUCUCAAGUUUAGAGUGAAAGUGGAAUUUUACUUGGUAGGAUGUAUGGGAAAGGAGAAGAAAGAACAUUUAGGUGUUUUAUUGUUCUAUUGCUUUAUCUUGGUAUUGCCUUUUUUGUUUUGUUUUGUUUUUCUUUUUGUUUUUUUGUAUUUUUCUUAGUUUCUCUUAUUAUUCCUCUGGGAGCCACAGAUCUGAGUGACAUUGCUUUUGGCCAUAGGCUGCAUCAAGUCUCACUGCAAAUAUCUGAUUACCUCCUGACCAUCAGCUAACCCUGCUUCCCAGCUGCUCAGUGAAGAUGGGUAUCUCCUAUCCACCCAUUAAUCAGUGUAAUCUCUUACUGGCAUUCUCACAUCAGUCCCGUGCCCUCACCACCUUCUCCUGGUUUUUAUUCCUGCUUUCCCCUGCCUGUCAGGUACUCUCAGACGUGGGAGUCCUCCCAGCUUCCCAUGAAUCACAUUAUUUUUCAGUAGCUGGCAGGAAGAAUUAUAUAGUUAUCCACAGACAUUGCUACAAGAUGUGUUUAAUGAAUGGCCAGGCUGUCAAAUGUUUGAAAGUGAUGUAGGAGGAAUGUUUCUUGCCAGUUUGAAUAAGUAUCAGAAAUCUGAGAUUUGCAGUAAGUGUACCGGUUCUCAGCUUGUCCGGGCAGCAGCUGCCUGCCUGUAAGAGCUCUGGAAAGAGAAAUUAAGCUGUGGAAUGGCUGUGCUUGUAAAAAAUGUCAAUAUUUGCCUGCUGGGUUGCUGACAGUUUCUAGUUCUUAUAAAAUGUUCCCUAAUUAACCACUGGCAUGAGAUGCUUCAUGGGAAUUAGAUCUCUAAUUUUUCAGAAAGAAAGGAAGAAAUAUUUCUCAUCCAAAUGGGAGGAAUUGACAGCUGUGCCCAAAGUCUUGAUAUUGCUAAAUCAGUUCUUUAACUGAAAUGGAGAGUCAGAUUAAGGCUUGUAAAAGUUGCAUGAUAAUUUAGUUUCUUUCUUAUUGGUAUGAUGUGUCUGAUACACAGCACCACUGAUUCUUUGCUCUGCUUUUAUGUGAGUUGACAAAAAUAUGCUGCUUGAGUGAAUCACAUUUCUUUUGCCCUUCUCCAUGCAAUGCAAUUAAACAGCUCAUGAAAAAUUGUAUACUAGUAGGAUUUAAUUUAGGACAGUGUUUAUGGCACUUAAACCACUGUAUCUUAGGCCUACCUGUGUUGACAUAAAAAGCUUGUAGAGAAAACUACAUUAUUAAAGGUACAUAGCUGCUGUAAUAUGCUACUCUUACACCUCAUAAGAACUUUUUCCCUGUAUGCACACCUGCUUUGUGUAAGAGGGAAACUUCUAGGACACUAAGCAUGCUCCAAUUGUGUUAACAUUUGAAUUUUGGCACCAGAACUAGUAUGGACAGUCCAUGCUGCAACAUGCUUCUCAUGCUUUGAAAGUAGUGUUUCUUCUUAUUAUUAAUAAUAGGUGCUUUAGCUUUGCUCUAAAAUGAAAAAUAGAGAUGGAUUAAAAAGAUCUCAGGGGGAGCAAUUUUCACUAAGAGGAAAGUCUGGGGACAGCAGAAAGCCUGAUAUAAUGAACAUAAUAUAACAAACAGUAAGAAACAGAGAAAUGAGAAGUAUCAAUUUAUACAUUAAGAGCCAUUGUUCCUGGAAAGCCAAUUCCAGAGUGCUGGUCAUUCCUGCCAGAUACCAGAAAGUAUUGCAGUGAGAUUCUCAUGGAUAAUACUUUUAUAGAAAUAGGAUAUUUUAUAGCAGCUACAAAAUUAAGGCUUCAGAAAUGAAGGACAUGGGCAAAAUCAAAACUGCUGCUUUGAUUCCUUCAUCUGUCUACACAGAUUGGCAUUGUUCUAAUGCAUGGUAGAAGAAUGGUUCCCUAUUUUCUGAGGAAAAGGGCUUCCAUGUGCCUGGAAGUAGUAAAGCAGCAACCAGCACUCUGGAAUUGGCUUUUCAGGAACAAUGGCUCUUAAUGAAUAAAUUGCUACUUCUCAUUUCUCUGUUUCUUGCUGUUUAUUAUAUGCAUGGUUUUUAGAGAAUAUGUGUAUGUAAUAAGAAAUAUAGUUAUUAAUAGUUGUAUAUUAUUACAAUAUUAUGUAAUAAUUACUAUUGCAGUGUUUAAUAAAUGUGUUGUAAACUACAUAGGCUAGCUGAAAUACAAAUGAUCUUGAAACUUGGAAGCUGUUUCUAAGAAUGUCUGAUGACUUGCAGUUUUUUUAAUUAAGCAAUUGAAACCUUCAUCUUUGUUUACUCAGAAACGUGUCUGGAUUAGUAAAGUUGUGCAACACAUUAAAAUAAAUUUCUAAAUGGUUUUUUCUGUAAAAUGUUUAGAACAAGAAUGAUUUCUCUUGCAUUACAUUUGCACCACUUUUUAUGUUUUGAAUAACAAUUUCAAAUACAAAGUGACUCCUCAGAAAUACCGUAAAAUGGGAAAAGCUUAAGGGCAAGUUGUGCCGUUAGUGAGUGAUGAUUCUUCUAUCUGGCAGUUCAGUUGGCUUGAAUAGUACAAGGUUUAUGUGAUUUAUUAUCUUACAAUACUGAAGUAGUCUACUAAUACAAAUGUUUCCAUUAAAAAAGAAAGUGAACUUGCUAAAUGGAAAAGAUAAUGUUUUAUUAAUUUUUCUUCUUGGUUUUAUAUUCUUGUGCCCUGCAGCUCUAGUGCAGCUGCUGUAAGUGCAAAUGCAAAUACCAACUUGCUUAAUGGGGUAAUUAAAGGCAGUGGAGGAAAGUUAUGUAAUGGAUACUCACUAAGUGUAAAAUAUAUUCAAGCCAUACCAUAUGAUAUUUUAAACUGUGGAAUUGUCUCCUGAGGUUGGAAAGGCAUUGCAUAUCACUUGUGAAAUAGUUAGUUUAUUCUGAAGUUGGAUGUAAAAAAAAAUA